GCCCGCUUGGCCCAGUGGUAAGGCGUUGGACUUCUAUGAUUUUGUGAUCGAUAGACAUCCAAAGAUCACGGGUUCGAUCCCCGUAGUGGGUU